rnacentral:rRNA from 1 species
GAUGAACGCUGGCGGCGUGCCUAAUACAUGCAAGUCGAGCGAACAGACGAGGAGCUUGCUCCUCUGACGUUAGCGGCGGACGGGUGAGUAACACGUGGAUAACCUACCUAUAAGACUGGGAUAACUUCGGGAAACCGGAGCUAAUACCGGAUAAUAUAUUGAACCGCAUGGUUCAAUAGUGAAAGACGGUUUUGCUGUCACUUAUAGAUGGAUCCGCGCCGCAUUAGCUAGUUGGUAAGGUAACGGCUUACCAAGGCAACGAUGCGUUGCCGACCUGAGAGGGUGAUCGGCCACACUGGAACUGAGACACGGUCCAGACUCCUACGGGAGGCAGCAGUAGGGAAUCUUCCGCAAUGGGCGAAAGCUUGACGGAGCAACGCCGCGUGAGUGAUGAAGGUCUUCGGAUCGUAAAACUCUGUUAUUAGGGAAGAACAAAUGUGUAAGUAACUAUGCACGUCUUGACGGUACCUAAUCAGAAAGCCACGGCUAACUACGUG